UGAGGGAAUAUUGGGUCAAUGGGCGAGAGCCUGAACCAGCCAAGUCGCGUGAAGGAUGAAGGUUCUAUGGAUUGUAAACUUCUUUUAUUCGAGGGUAAAGUGAGGUAUGUAUACCUUAUUGCAAGUAUCGAAUGAAUAAGCAUCGGCUAACUCCGUGCCAGCAGCCGCGGUAAUACGGAGGAUGCGAGCGUUAUCCGGAUUUAUUGGGUUUAAAGGGUGCGCAGGCGGCGUGCCAAGUCAGCGGUCAAAGUUCCGGGCUCAACCCGGUGAUGCCGUUGAAACUGGUGUGCUUGAGUGCGUGCGAGGGAGGCGGAAUGCGUUGUGUAGCGGUGAAAUGCAUAGAUAUGACGCAGAACUCCGAUUGCGAGGGCAGCUUUCCAGCACGCCACUGACGCUGAGGCACGAAAGCGU
rnacentral:rRNA from 1 species